UGGUAGUAAUACUGGAUAAGUUUAGUGGCGCACGGGUGAGUAACACGUGAGUAAUCUGCCGAGAAGUGGGGGAUAGCUUGCCGAAAGGCAAAUUAAUACCGCAUGUGAUAGCAAUAUUAAAGUCGGGGUAACCUGACGCUUCUUGAUGAGCUCGCGGCCUAUCAGCUUGUUGGUGGGGUAACGGCUCACCAAGGCUAUGACGGGUAGCUGGUCUGAGAGGACGACCAGCCACACUGGAACUGAGACACGGUCCAGACACCUACGGGUGGCAGCAGUCGAGAAUUUUUCUCAAUGGGGGAAACCCUGAAGGAGCGACGCCGCGUGGAGGAUGAAGGCUUUCGGGUCGUAAACUCCUGUCAUUAGGGAACAAUUGUCAGCGAUUAACUGUCGCGGACUUGAUAGUACCUGAAGAGGAAGGGACGGCUAACUCUGUGCCAGCAGCCGCGGUAAUACAGAGGUCCCAAGCGUUGUUCGGAUUCAUUGGGCGUAAAGGGUGCGUAGGUGGUAGACUAAGUCGGAUGUGAAAUCCCAGGGCUCAACCCUGGAACUGCAUUCGAUACUGGCCUGCUCGAGGACUGGAGAGGAGAUUGGAAUUCAUGGUGUAGCAGUGAAAUGCGUAGAUAUCAUGAGGAAGACCAGUGGCGAAGGCGGAUCUCUGGACAGUUCCUGACACUGAGGCACGAAGGCUAGGGGAGCAAACGGGAUUAGAUACCCCGGUAGUCCUAGCAGUAAACGGUGCACGCUUGGUAUGAGAGGAUUCGACCCCUUUCGUGCCGGAGCUAACGCGUUAAGCGUGCCGCCUGGGGAGUACGGUCGCAAGAUUAAAACUCAAAGAAAUUGACGGGGGCCCGCACAA
rnacentral:rRNA from 1 species